rnacentral:tRNA from 1 species
GAAUAAGAAGCAAUUUAAAGCAAUUAGUUUCGACCUAAUAACUUGGUAUUAAUUUACCCUUAUUCU